rnacentral:rRNA from 1 species
UUCAGAGGGUGCGAGCGUUAAUCGGAAUUACUGGGCGUAAAGCGCGCGUAGGCGGCUUUGCAAGUCGGGUGUGAAAUCCCCAAGCUUAACCUGGGAACUGCAUUCGAGACUGCAUUGCUAGAGUAUGGGAGAGGGAAGUGGAAUUUCCGGUGUAGCGGUGAAAUGCGUAGAUAUCGGAAGGAACACCGGUGGCGAAGGCGGUUCUCUGGGCAUGUCCUGACGCUGAGGAGCGAAAUUGUGGGGAGCGAACAGG